rnacentral:rRNA from 1 species
AUUGAACGCUAGCGGGAGGCCUAACACAUGCAAGUCGAACGAGUGGCGGACGGGUGAGUAAUGUCUGGGAAACUGCCCGAUGGCGGGGGAUAACUACUGGAAAGGGUAGCUAAUACCGCAUACCAUCGGAGCGGCCCAGAUGGGAUUAGCUAGUAGGUGGGGUAAAGGCUCACCUAGGCGACGAUCCCUAGCUGGUCUGAGAGGAUGACCAGCCACACUGGAACUGAGACACGGUCCAGACUCCUACGGGAGGCAGCAGUGGGGAAUAUUGCACAAUGGGCGAAACCCUGAUACAGCCAUGCCGCUUGUAUGAAGAAGGCCUUCGGGUUGUAAAGUACUUUCAGCGGGGAGGCGUUACCCGCAGAAGAAGCACCGGCUAACUCCGUGCCAGCAGCCGCGGUAAUUC